UGGGGAAUAUUGCACAAUGGGCGGAAGCCUGAUGCAGCAACGCCGCGUGAGUGAUGAAGGCCUUCGGGUUGUAAAGCUCUGUCUUUUGGGACGAUAAUGACGGUACCAAAGGAGGAAGCCACGGCUAACCUACGUGCCAGCAGCCGCGGUAAUACGUAGGUGGCAAGCGUUUGUCCGGAUUUACUGGGCGUAAAGGAUGCGUAGGCGGAUUUUUAAGUGAGAUGUGAAAUACCCGGGCUUAACUUGGGUGCUGCAUUUCAAACUGGGAAUCUAGAGUGCGGGAGAGGAGAAUGGAAUUCCUAGUGUAGCGGUGAAAUGCGUAGAGAUUAGGAAGAACACCAGUGGCGAAGGCGAUUCUCUGGACCGUAACUGACGCUGAGGCAUGAAAGCGUGGGUAGCAAACAGGAUUAGAUACCCUGGUAGUCCACG
rnacentral:rRNA from 1 species